CAGCGGCCACGCCCGAGCCCAUGACGGUGUACGCCCAGGUGGGGCCUUCCCUGCAGUGCACCCCAAAUGGGGUGAAAGGUGGAUCCAAGGAAGAUCCGGACACGGAAUCUUCCAGAACCGUUUACUCCCUGGUCAAGCGUCCGGAGCAGGUGCAUGAUGGGAACACGGAAAAUGUCACACCGAGCGGCCUGGACGUGGUUUAGGAUCUGGAGCUGGUUUCGGAUCUGGAACUGGUUUAGGAUCUGAACUGCUUU